CUGUUUGACUGUCAGUGUGUAUGUGUGUCUGUCAGUGUGUGUCUGUCUGUGUGUCUGUCAGUAUGUGAAUUUCUGCCAGUGAGUUUCUGUUUUUGUGUGUCAGUGAGUGUUUGUCUGUCAGUGAGUGUGUGUCUGCCAGUGUAUGUCUGUCAGUGAGUGAGUGACAUGAGGGGGCAGGCAAAAUGGAUCUUUGCCUAGGGUGGCAGAAAUCCUUGCACUGGCCCUACUCCUGUCAAC